GACGGGGGGGGGCAAGUGUUCUUCGGAAUGACUGGGCGUAAAGAGCGCGCAGGCGGUCGAUCAAGUCGAGUGUGAAAGCCCCCGGCUCAACUGGGGAGGGUCAUUCGAUACUGAUCGACUCGAAGGCAGGAGAGGGUAGUGGAAUUCCCGGUGUAGUGGUGAAAUGCGUAGAUAUCGGGAGGAACACCAGUGGCGAAGGCGACUACCUGGCCUGUUCUUGACGCUGAGGUGCGAAAGCUAGGGGAGCAAACGGG
rnacentral:rRNA from 1 species